rnacentral:rRNA from 1 species
AGCGAACGCUGGCGGCAAGCUUAACACAUGCAAGUCGAACGAUGCAGCAAUGCAUAGUGGCGGACGGGUGCGUAACACGUGGGAAUCUGCCUUUAGGUAAGGAAUAACUCAGGGAAACUUGAGCUAAUACCUUAUAAUAUCUUCGGAUCAAAGAUUUAUCGCCUAAAGAUGAGCCCGCGGCAGAUUAGCUAGUUGGUGGGGUAAUGGCCUACCAAGGCAACGAUCUGUAGCUGGUCUGAGAGGAUGAUCAGCCACACUGGGACUGAGACACGGCCCAGACUCCUACGGGAGGCAGCAGUGGGGAAUAUUGGGCAAUGGGCGCAAGCCUGACCCAGCUAUGCCGCGUGAAUGAUGAAGGCCUUAGGGUUGUAAAGUUCUUUUAGGUGGGAAGAUAAUGACGGUACCACCAGAAAAAGCUCCGGCUAACUUCGUGCCAGCCGCCGCAGUAAAAC